rnacentral:rRNA from 1 species
GACAGAGGGUGCAAGCGUUAAUCGAAAUAACUGGGCGUAAAGAGUACGUAGGCGGAAGAAUAAGUCAUGUGUGAAAAACCGGGGCUCAACCUCGGGACUGCAUACGAUACUGUUUUUCUAGAGUUUGGUAGAGGUAAGUGGAAUUUCCGGUGUAGCGGUGAAAUGCUUAGAUAUCGGAAGGAACACCAGUGGCGAAGGCG